AUGAACGCUGGCGGCGUGCCUAAUACAUGCAAGUCGAACGAAUCUUCUUCGGAAGAUGAGUGGCGAACGGGUGAGUAAUACAUAGGUAACCUGCCCCUGUGCGGGGGAUAACAGGAGGAAACUCCUGCUAAUACCGCAUAGCCAUGAGCACCGCAUGGAGCUCAUGCCAAAUAUCCUUCAGGGGAUAGCGCAGGGAUGGACCUAUGGCGCAUUAGCUAGUUGGCGGGGCAACGGCCCACCAAGGCAACGAUGCGUAGCCGGCCUGAGAGGGCGGACGGCCACAUUGGGACUGAGACACGGCCCAGACUCCUACGGGAGGCAGCAGUAGGGAAUUUUCGGCAAUGGGGGAAACCCUGACCGAGCAACGCCGCGUGAGCGAAGAAGGCCUUCGGGUCGUAAAGCUCUGUUGUAAAGGAAGAACGUCGCAUGCAGGAAAUGGUGUGCGAGUGACGGUACUUUACCAGAAAGCCACGGCUAACUACGUGCCAGCAGCCGCGGUAAUACGUAGGUGGCGAGCGUUAUCCGGAAUCAUUGGGCGUAAAGAGGGAGCAGGCGGCCGCAAGGGUCUGUGGUGAAAGACCGAAGCUAAACUUCGGUAAGCCAUGGAAACUGGGCGGCUAGAGUGCGGAAGAGGAUCGUGGAAUUCCAUGUGUAGCGGUGAAAUGCGUAGAUAUAUGGAGGAACACCAGUGGCGAAGGCGACGGUCUGGGCCGCAACUGACGCUCAUUCCCGAAAGCGUGGGGAGCAAAUAGGAUUAGAUACCCUAGUAGUCCACGCCGUAAACGAUGGUCACUAAGUGUCGGGGGUCAAACCCCGGUGCUGCAGUCAACGCAAUAAGUGACCCGCCUGAGUAGUACGUUCGCAAGAAUGAAACUCAAAUGAAUUGACGG
rnacentral:rRNA from 1 species